rnacentral:rRNA from 1 species
UUGCUUUGCUGGACAAAACCCCAAGGGAAGGGGGCAGCUUAGGCUGGGUUAUAGGCCUGGGGCGAUACAGUUGAGUGGACUGAGGUUUCGCAGUGUGUGCUCUCGGGCAAGGCUGACUGGGUGCUAUGGGAUCGUUCGGCGUACAAUGCAUGCAUUUUGCGUCGUGUCUUUUUCAUACUCGCUCAACUCGGCUCUUCCACACUUAGGAUGUUGACUUAAUGGUUUUAAACGACCCGUCUUGAAACACGG